GGAGCCUCCGGCUCAGCUCUUGCGGGCCGGGCAAGAAACGUCCCGAGGGAUGACGUAAGCCCUAAGGCAGCUGAACUCAGUAGAUUCCUUUUGGUAGGGUUCUUGGAGAGAGGGAGAAACAAGGCAGGGGAUGAUGUCGAGGAAGACGACAUGUUCAUCAUCAAACUGUUUUUUUUCCUGAGUUUUUGUCUGAGAACGAGUCUUCGAUCUUUGUCCGAUCAAUCUUGUGUUUUGGAGGGAAGAUUUUAACCCAAAGAGAGUGAUUAUAAAGAUGUUUCCAGUACUUUGAUCUUAUUGUGAGAUUUUAUAUUUCUCGAACACGUCUUUGUCUUCUUGAACGAUCCAGAGUUUGUCAAAUCGACAAGAAGGGGGCCAUUGUUACAGCUUCAACGUUGAUUUCAUAAUAUAAUCCCCACGAGUUCAUAUGAUGAGCCCUGAUUUA